ACAACUGACAGCUAUCCCCACAUUCUCACACGCAUGUGACAAAGAGCCCCCUGGCCUGUGGAGAAGGAGAUCCCUUGUGUGAGGAGGACGACUCCAGCCAGAUCACAGGCAGCAGCUACUCUAAGACCCAGAACUGAAGCCAGGUAGAUGUUACCCACAGGCAGCCAGCUUUCUGCUGCACCUGGAGUCCUUUGCCCUGCAUCUGCCUGAGCAGGAUUAGCUCUGUGGGAAGGGCUUGGAAGAUCCUGCCCUCCACUCCUGGGACUCAAAGGUUGUUAACCCAUCCCUUUCUCCUGGCCAAACCAGCUGUUAGCAAAGCAGACGGGUCAGGGAUCCUGGGUCGCUUGUGACUGUUCAGCAGAAACUUGACUAGCCUUCCCAGGAAGAAGGGCUCAGGUUGAAUUUGGUGAGAAAGUGUGAUGGAAUGACACUGGGGUUCUGAUAAAAGCAACCAGGGGCAGAAUGGGUCCUGAGUCGGGUGGAAUGAAAUAGCCUAGGCUGCCAGGGUUCCCGGAUGGGCUGCUGACCCAGGCCCCCAGGGCCAGCUCCUCCAACCCAGACUGAGACAGUUUCAGACCCUCAGUUCCCUUUAUCCUAAUCACCAUGGGUGGCCAGGGUACCCAUGAGCAGAGUUGAAACUGAGAUUGUCAGCGAACAGAUAUGAUCAGCACACAGGGGGGCAGCAGUGUCUGCACAGGGUUCUCCACCUCCCCUCCCCACCAGGCCCUGUGAGCCAGCAGGAGACUCAUCCCUCAAAAGCCUUUGCCAUGUGGCUAUCACAGUCUCUCCCCUCCCUUCAUGCCCCACCACCACCACCACCACCAAGCACCACCUUUUAGAACUUGCUGCCUCUCCCAAUGGUCUGAGCAGUCUCUGCUCUGCGCCCCUUUCUGCUGGAGAGGCCUCCUCCAGAGCACAGCAAGGACCACUACAACUCCAUUCCCAAGCCAAGCUCUCACAGACCACCAACCCUGCCGGCCCCGCUUGGGACCCCAGGCCUGCCAGAGGGCCUCCUCCCUCUGCCGCAGUCAGCACACUGAAUAUUUAAUGUCUGACGAGCAUUUCCACCUGCUGACACAGGCAAAGUGGCAGAACAAUGCCAACAGGGACAGGGACACCGCCAGCCCCCUGACGGACGGCCUCCCGAGGCCCUGCCUGUGUCCACUGCCCGCCCUGAGCAGCCACCCACAAGGCACGGGCCACCCCUCAGUCUGGCGAGAGAGUUCCUAGCCUGAAAUACAUACUUCUUUACAUUCCAUAGCUUAGCAGGUCCAUAUGGGCAUAUAAAGAAGUAUGUGUCCCAAGCAGGUAGUUCAGGGUGCACAGGGAAGGGGCUCCGAGAAGUGGCCCGACACAAGCUGGGCCCCCUUUGGUGUCUCCCGAGACUCAGUCUCUCCCACACGUGCACACUUGGUAAAGACUGGAAGCAAACAGGGCAUGCUGGGAAGUCUCAACCCCCCCCCCUACUCCCCCACCGUGGUUCAUACCUCCCUCAAUGGAACGAGUUCUCUCCCAUUCUUCCCAAGAGAGGGAAGUCACAUCCCAGACUCCAAGAAAUAGCAUCCAACUCUGCCAACAUCUUCCCUCUCCUUCCUGCCCACCUUGUCACCACCAAGGACAGUGAGGGUGGGGUAAGGAGACAGAAUUCAGGAGCAGCUCCACCCUCGGGCCACCAGGGACCAGCACCCCAGACUAAGAACCAGGCACAUCCUUUUCCUGGGGAGCAAAUAGCCCAGCUCCCUGAGGUCAGAUGAGAGGAAGCAGUUUCGUGAGUCUCCAGAAAUGAAUCAGGGGGCUUACCUGGACAGGCGAUGGCUCCCCUGGCAGGACCCUGAUGAAUUGUUUCCCAAAAUGAGAGUCCCCAAGAGGAGGGCUCAGUGCCUCUUUCUUUGAAGUGAAGGAGAAAGAUGGUGAUCUUGAACACCAUGUCCCCACAGUGUCUAAGGGCUACUAAGAGGUGACCUACUCAUUGGCCAGCUCUUCAGGGCUCAGUCUGGUCUGAGAGUUGAGACCAAGCCAGUGAGGGAGUUUCUAUUCCAGCCACCUCCUUCUUUGGUCCCCUUCUCUCUUCUCUCUUCUCUCCUUUGUACCCUCUGUCCUCCUGGUGACCUACAGUCACCAACGCCAGCCAUCCCCUGCUACGCAGCACAGCCACCUGAGAAGGUCGUAAGGAACCAGUCCAUGAAAAUCUGGAGCUCAUCCCUAAAGGGCCUGUCCCUCACCUGGUUCAACUUCCAUCAGUCCCUAAUUAAUAGCUUGUAGCUAAACAAAGGGGCUGUCCCCCUGGACCUGAAGACCCUUGCUGUACCAACUUCUGAAAAAGGUACAGACUAAUUUGAAAAAAAGUUCGAGGGAAAUGCUUGGGAAACUUAAUUGUAUUUUGUCUCUCCUCUUGAUUUUUUGAGAUCUCUCUGGAAGUAAAGUGGAGGCUCCCUUCUGCCCUACCAACCUCUACACCCAAAGUGAGGUAGAAAGGAAUCUGAAAAACAGAAAGGUGGACAGGAGGGCUUCCAAGUUAGAUUCUCCGUAGUGGAAAGGGAGCUCAUUCUCACACUGAGAGAAAGAAGAAAGAGAAAGGGGUAGUCUGGAGGGAAGCGAGGAAGAGGAGGAAGAGACUCACAUGCUUGGGGGCUCUCCAUCACCCAAGGUGAGCCUGCAGGUAAAGUGCUGGAACCCUGGAACAGGUGUCCCUGCAGGCGGCUACCUACAGAAAGAGCUGAAGACACCCACUGCAGGAGAGCCGGUGCAGAAACAGAGGGUCUGGCUGGGCUUGGACCUGGUGUGGGGCUGCAGGGCAGUCCCAGCUCCUGAAAGAACAUUCAGUUCUCCCGUGUCAGCAGGACAAUGUCUGUCUCUGGCAUGACCUGACCAGCCCUGUCCCUGUGAGGAAACACCCCAGAGAGCAUCCAGACUCUCCCAUUCCUGGGAGGGCCCUGUCUCUGCAGAGCCUGCAGCAUGCAGAGGUCCCCCUGUUGUGGCAGCUGUAGCUGGGCAGGGUGGAGAGAGGAUUAGGGCGCUCAUGCAGCAGGAAUGAGCAAGGGACAGAAACUGUGCCCAUUUCCCAUGUGGUUACUGUUAAAAUUUCAUUUCCACACAGCCAAGGAUAAAAGGAUAAAAGGGGCACUAGUACAUUAGCCUCAGCUUCCAGCUUCUGGGGGUACCCCUGGUGUGGCUGAGCUCCCACUUAGGCUGCCUGAGAACUCUAAGAACAGAUGCCUCGGCCCUCUGUCCCAACUCCCCGGUGUUCCUAUGAUAGCCUCUACAUGUCAAACAGAGAGUUGGGGGGACCCAAAGAGCAGAGGUUGAUUCAGUCUGAACCCACUUCAGGAGCUGCUCAUUCAGAAAUGAACGAGAAUCACUUCUCAAAAAGUUUCCCACCUUGACAGAAAACGGGUUGUCAGCCACCUCCAAGCAGACCCCCAUGGCAAGCAGAGCUGAGGUGGGGCCUUGUCCUGAGCCCCACUCCCAUUGUGAACAGUAGCUCAGCACUAGUCAGCCCCAGCUCCAGCCCCUGGAUGCCUGACACAGCACACAUCUAAUCCUGGUAGGGCUGGGAGAGCUUCAGAAAUCCGGAGUCCCAGCCCAUGACAGCCUUGUCAGCGCUCCUCAGAAAUCCCCCACCCGCAACGCACUCAUAGUGGCAAGUUCCAAGGUAAGUUUAGCCACAAUCUCUGGUGUUGCACUCAACUGGUUAAUCUUUUUCCUCGGCUCCCGUGCCAACCCCCUAGAACAGCGGACGCCAUCCACCCUGCCCUCCACCAAGCAUCCAGGGGCGCUGCUUUCUUGCAAAAAGCCGUAUGUCAAAGUUCUGCAUCCCGGUUGGACGCGCCCUCCCAACCCUCCCAGCCCUGCCGGCUGCUGGCUCUGCAGUUUUCCAAAUGUGGAUGAUGCUGGGAGAAACUCCAGGCGCCCCCUCGGAGCCACGCGGCACCAGCACCCACAGCACCCACCUCACCGGAGGGCACACCCCCACCACUGCCGAUAAGUUUUCAGGGGCUUUCCUAGCUGGUGGGCAGCUGAAGCAGCCAGCUGAGAGGGACUCACCAGGGAGCCCUGGGCGCCCCUCGGGCUGGGCUGGUGACCGCGGCAGCGGUGGCGGCGGGCGCAGGGUCGCGGCUCCCCGGGAGAUGCUGCAGCAGCGGCAGCGGUAGCCACCUCCUCCCGGAGCCAAUCGCAAAUGCAGGGGUGGGGGCGGGCCGGAGCUCCCAUUGCGUCCGCACUUGGUGGGGAGGGGGGGCAGAGAGAGAAAGAAGACACCGCGACUCCGCACCCCUGCCCUUCCCCCAGCCCUCCUGCAGCAGCGCAGACUUAGCAGCAGGGAAAUCUUGAGAGAGAAGGAGGAAGAGGGAGAGGGAAAGAGAGAGAGAAGAGUGAGGGGAGUGGAGGGGUGGGAGAGAGAGAGAGAGAGAGAGAGAGAGAGAGAGAGAGAGAGAGAGAGAGAGAGAGAGAGAGAGAGCCGAUGCAGAGUUAAGGAGGCAGAGCCCAGCUGCACACCUUGCCCGGCCAAAGCUGCAGGAAGCUCCUGCACCCUCCUCAGCCCUGCCGGUACCAGGUAGAGGUCAGAGCAGAACAAAAAGGAAAAAGAGAAAGGCCCCGCGGGAGACAUAGCUGAGUAGCCUGACCUCCCGGGACAACUCACAGACGGUGAGGGGAAGGCACCCCUUCAGCUUCACCCCAAAGCUCUUGGGCACCCAACAGGAAAGGACACUGACAGAGACCAGCCUGCAGAGGCUACAAGAUGGAGAAGAAGCCACAUCAUGCGGAUGAGAGAGCCAAACCACACACAAGAGAAAUGAAGUCACUAUCCAGGCUGGUUGUGACCGGUGUCCCAACCAAGGAAGGAGAAACAGAGAGGAGCAUCUGCACUGCUGGCCGAGCUGCAGGAAACAAGACUGAGGAGACGCUGUUCCCAUCCAACCCCAUAUCUUCACUCCCAACCCUGAGCAGUCCACACCAGUGACGGCCACUGCAGAACAUAAGAAGAUUCUUCAACAGUUAAGAUCUUACUAAGCCCGGGCAACUGCUCUCCUAGGCACAUGUCUGAGAAGUCCCUACAGCAGCAUCCAUGCUAUAAACAGCACAUCCCAGGUGCUAUCCACUAGUGACCAGGGAACCACACAUACACUGAGAGGAUGGUAUAUUAUCUGGUGAUAAAACCCAAAGCACGGCUACAUGCCAUGACUCUUGAAACUAGGAUGUGGAGCCAACAUAAGCGGCCACACACAGAGUGUGCUGGAUGUGAAACUCCCGGAGUAGGAAGAUACAGGAGUGGGCAGGGAGGGGAUGACUCAUGAGAGGCAGGUCUCCUGGAGGUGAUGAGAUGAUCCAGAGGGAGACAGGGAUGACUGAUGCAUGGGUAUUGGGUACCAUGGCCAUUUCCAAGGAUGCUCUCUUCAAAAAAAAAAAAAAAAAAAAAAAAGGUCCCUUCUGUCUUUGUUUUGUUUCAAGACGGUUUCACUUAGCCCAGGGCUACCAGCAAGUUUGCCUGCCAUGUCCCUGAAGAUGACCUUGAACUUUUGACCCUCCUGUCUGGACCCCUAGAGUACUAGGAUUACAGUCCUGUCUAGAGCUGGAACAUGCUGUGAAGUGGACAGAAGAUUGCCCCUGACCCCGCCUUCUCAAGAAUACCCCAGAACCUCAGACCAUGUCUCUCUGUGUGAGGGUCAGUCUUCCUUGUCAGCUUGUUAGAAUCACUGUGGACACACACAUCUGAGCGUGUCAGCAAGGGCAUUUCUGAGGAGGCUUAACUGAGGUAGAAAGACCCAACAUGACAAUGGGCCAAAGCAUCCUGCAGGCUUGAAUGGGACAUGUGCUGAAAAAGAAAGAGUAAGCUAGAAACCAAUGCUCAUCCCUUUCUGCGUUCUGACCUCAGAUGCCGUGUGAUCAACCUACCUUGAGCUUCUCCCACCAUUGCCCAUCACCGUGAUGGACUGCAUCCCCUUAAACUGUAAGUCAACAGAAGCCCUUCCUUAAAUUACUCCUUUCUGGGUAUGUGAUCAUGGUAAUACAGUACCUUGCAUGGCAGACGGGGUUAAUUUAAGGAAUUCUGGGCGGAUCAUCUUGGACACUGGAUCCUUAUAGAGGGAAGGAUAACUAGAGAUUUGGAAGUACCUGUUACUACUGACUUUGGAUGGAGGAAAGGGCCAGGAAUGGAAGGUUAAGUGGUCUAGAAGCUGGAAAUCAACAGGCAUAGACUCGCCUAUAGCUUACAGAGGGAGUCACCUGACAUUGGGCUGCACUUCUAACCUAUUUAAAAAAAAAAUCAUUGAGCACUCAAGGGCUAAAUGUCUGGUUGUGUGUAACAGAAAUGGUAGUACACUCACUCUGCCUUGUGACUUUCCAAGAAACCCUCCCAGUGAGUAGAGUCCACAAGGGCCCACCCUGAGACUCCCUGUGGCCUGCACAAAUGGUAGAAUCAACUUCCAUGUGUUCUUGGGCCCUCACCAGCAAUACCCAGCAUGCUCUACGCUGAAUUCCAAGGGAGCCAGGCAGGAAGGUGUGUGAGGAAAUGGUCCCUGGGCGGGGGUGGGGAGGACACUGGCCAAGGGGAAGGAACAACUUGGUGGAUACUCCUGCCCAUAUCCUAUAGCUAUGCCCAUGGACCAACUCUCUGUGCUGUCCCAGCCUGGGCCUGGCAUGACUUGGGUAUGGCUACUGGCUCCAUAGGCAACAAAGCCAGUGAGAAGAUACCCUGGGCUUCAUGCAAAUCCGUGAUGUCUCUCUGCCAGUGUCUACACUACACAUAUGCAGUUCUGUCCAGGAUGGACAGCUGGUCAUUAAAAGCCAGGAAUUAAAGCAGGUAUAUCAGGGUCCUAAUGUUACUGCUAAAAUUGGUGUCCCUGGUGCGUAUCCAUUCAGCAUGCCAAACUUCACAGAGCUCUUAUGAGUCCCAACAGAAGAUGGAGCCUGCAGAAUUGCCCUGUGUCAGCUAACCACCACGCUGGCAUUUGUGGUGUACACUCAUGCCAUGAAGCAACUGUAGUGGGGAAGGCUUGUGCAUGCCAGUGUGGCCUGUGGAGCAGUGGCGAGAGGAUUGCAUAUGAACGUGAGGCGUCUUCACCAUGCUACAGGAGCGCACAGCCCCCACUGCACCUGGGAGGCUGCCACUGCCAGACCUGGAAUACCCACAGGCAUCAACACACACGCGCGCGCACACACACACACACUCCCUUAACGGCAGAGGGAAAACCUCCCUGGCAGCUCGUAAAGAAAGGCAUAUUUCACUGCCUCAGUGUCAGCAGAGAGCAAUCCGUCUCCUGCGAUGGAUGCGCCACUCAGUAUGGUGACAGCUCACCCCUCAGCAGAUGCAGGAUGCUUCAGGACACCCAGUCCAAGGGAUAACAAUUUAGCCUCCUGCCACACCUCAGCAGCUCCAGGUCAGCAUUCAGAACCUCUAGAGAAGGAGCUGCAGGCUAGGUAGAGGCUAGGAUCUAGAUUGACCCUGUGAGUCUGGAGCCAGGCAGAUCUCCAAAACCUCCCACUCCCCAGCCCCACCAGCUAUAUGGUGGGGCUCAAAAUCAGCUUUUCCAUAAGCUACUAAAAGCCUCCUGUGAAGGGCAUACCACCAUCCUGGAAGAAGACCUUAGGCAAUGGGUAAGCCAGGCUUCAAAGCACCCCGGAGCCACAGUCUCUCCUAUUUUGGAGGAAUGGAAACAGGGUUGAGAUCAAUGUUGGGGAUGAAAAGGGAGUUCCCUCCCUGUGGCCCCCAUCCUAUUAUCUGUCAUCCUGGAGGACAGUCAGAUGGCACAUUGAUUUCUACUCACCACAGCAUGACUCUACCGGCAAUGAAAGACACAAGGGCAGGAAGGAUUGCUGGUGAGCUCCUUAUCUCAAGUG
rnacentral:sRNA from 1 species